rnacentral:rRNA from 1 species
GACGACGCUGCCGGCGUGCUUAAUACAUGGCCCAAAAGUUAAGGAACGCACAGAUGCACCGUAGUUUACUUACACCGUAUUCUGUGAGUUGCGAACGGGUGAGUAACGCGUAGGUAACCUGCCUGGCGGGGGAUAACUAUUGGAAACGAUAGCUUAAUACCGCAUAAGAACAUUUACUGCAUGGUAGAUGUUUAAAAGGUGCAAAUGCAUCACUACCAGAUGGACCUGCGUUGUAUUAGCUAGUAGGUGAGGUACGGCUCACCUAGGCGACGAUACAUAGCCGACCUGAGAGGGUGAUCGGCCACACUGGGACUGAGACACGGCCCAGACUCCUACGGGAGGCAGCAGUAGGGAAUCUUCGGCAAUGGGGGGAACCCUGACCGAGCAACGCCGCGUGAGUGAAGAAGGUUUUCGGAUCGUAAAGCUCUGUUGUUAAGGAAGAACGAGUGUGAGAAUGGAAAGUUCAUACUGUGACGGUACUUAACCAGAAAGGGACGGCUA